AAUCGUGAUGAUGCUAGGCAGUUUAUGAAAUAUCUCCAUCCUGCUCUGGGAGUUGAAUUACCUGAAAGAUCAUAUGGAGCUGAUUGCCGUAUUUAUGUCCCAGAGAAUCCAAAAAACAAGUUUAUCAAUGUUUAUAAUACAUUAUUUGAUGAGUUUGUUCUUGCUCAUAUUUUUGGAUGGUAGGGUAAGGCAAUAAUGAUACGAAACCAGCCCCUUCUGUGGGUGUUGUCAAUUGGCUUCGAAUUGAUGGAGUUUACUUUUCGCCACAUGUUGCCAAAUUUCAAUGAGUGCUGGUGGGAUAGUAUUAUUUUGGACAUCUU